UCUUUCUCCCCCGCUACCUCCCGGCUCGGGCUCGCCCCCGGCGCUGUCCGUGGCGGCAGGGCGGGCGGCUGCCCGGGGGUCAUCCCGCUCCGCCUGCCCCGGUGCGGAGCCGUUCCCGCACAAGCCCCGGGCGGAGGCAGCUGAAGGCGCAGCCCUUUCUUCGCUGCUGAGGCUCUUUCCUGUCCCCUCCCAGCGCUGGCAAAGUUUAAAAUCGGUAUCUAACACCUGCUUCCGAUUAGUUAAUCCAGCAAGCUGCUUCUAGUGCAGGAUUAAGUCCCAAUUUGCAAGAAGGUGUCUCCUCUGCUGCCCCCAUGCCCCCACACGCGGACAGACAGACUGACAGCUGCUGUAUUUUUUUCAAAAGAGCCAUUAACCACAACCUGGACAGAGGUGAGUGCUUGGCCCUGGAGAGUUCAGGUGUGGAACUAUAAUUCCUUAGCUCUCUUAAAACCAUCUCAUCUGCCAAACUAGUUUUCAGAUUCAAGUAUGUUGGAGUAGAUUCACACUAAGGCAGCCUUGAGCAGUUUAACAUGUUCUUUCAACGCUUGGAUUUUGGUACCAAAUGGCUGUGGAAGGAUGGUGCAGAUCAGACCCUUCUCGCACUUAAAUUAGAAGAUAAGACAAUAAAGCUUCAGUAUUUCUGCUUUUUUUUAAUCUAUCAUAUCUUACCCUAGAAAUAAAAGAGGGAAAGCAGAAGGA